rnacentral:misc_RNA from 1 species
AACAUCGCGCACCUGCGGGAACCUGCGGAAGGAUCAUUACCGAGUUUACAACUCCCAAACCCCUGUGAACAUACCAAUUGUUGCCUCGGCGGAUCAGCCCGCUCCCGGUAAAACGGGACGGCCCGCCAGAGGACCCCUAAACUCUGUUUCUAUAUGUAACUUCUGAGUAAAACCAUAAAUAAAUCAAAACUUUCAGCAACGGAUCU